GAGGUAGGCAAGGAUAAGAGAAAGAAGAACCAGGUAGGGGGGAUUGAUGGGGAGAAGCACUGAGCAUCGAGACAGCUGUGAUUAGCUGAGGAGCAUUUAAAGGAAAAAUGUUUCCAUGAAGAUACGAAGAGGAGGAACAAAGAUAAACUGGGCCCACUCAACAGAUGCAGGCUCCAGUGGUCACAGUUACUGCACCCAGGGAGCCCACACAGUAGGGAGUGAGGGGUGUAUAGCCACUGCUUCAUGGAGAGAAAAGGACCAGGGAUCACCCAUAGUCCAAGGGACAGUCAGCACCUUUCCUAUAUCAAGGAAGAUAGCCAACGCCAGCCUCAGGCAGAACCAGACCCAGCCUUCCUAUCCUGAACCCUGAAGGAGGCCCCCAGAGAACCUUGGCAUUUUUAUCAAAGGACAGUAGCUGAAAUUUUCCCGUUCGUGCUGUGCUGCUUGGCUAGUGGCCUCAUCCCCGUGUUUUACAGACCCAUAUUUCACAAACACCCAAGAGGGCUCACUCUACCACUUGGUUAUGAUACUGGACUUUGAAAACUAGACAGGCUACUCUGUACAGCAGCAAAACAGAAAAAUAAUGGCCUGAACUUAGAAGAUGACUCUAGGCAAAAUGAACAGAAGACAGACAGUACCUCUACAGAAAAAUACAUUUUGGCCUGGACCUGUGAUUUCAUUAAUAUAGGGAUUCCUAGUAAGGAACUCCCCUCUACCAAUGCAGGGUGAUACAAUGUACCUGGCAGGUCCAGGGAAGGGAGACAUUUCUGCCUGAUGUUCUCUAACCAACCCUCUCUGAAGACGGCUACUCACCUGCUCCUGGGAAUUCAUUACCCGUAGCUUCAUCUGCUUCAGGGCCACCAUUCUAUGCCUCUAUGUCCCAGCUACCAAGGAAAUGCAUUAUACAACCAACCAAGUCCUCAGAAUCAUAGAAUCCUAGAGCUGGAAGGGCCUUCCAAAGUCACCUCCUCCAGGAGCAUUGGUCUACACCCAAGAUGAUGUCUGAGAUCUCUGCCAGCAGCUCCAAAUUCCACAAUGCUAAGUGCUACAAGAGUUUCAGAGGACAGCAAGAUCACUUUCAGUCAUGGUGCUCAAAAGAAGGCUUCAGAGAUGGCAUUUGGGAUGAAUGUUUGGAGAUGAAAGGGAAUCCAAGGACGUGGAACUUUCCAAUGGCUCGGAUUGGACGUCCCAUUCUAGCCAGUUCAAACUUAGGAUCCUAUCUGUCAUCAGCCAAUCUCAACUGCCAAGAUGCUGCACAGGAAAGGAGAUGACCGCCUGUGGUAACCAAACCAUGCAGGGGCUACAAGACCAACACCUUAAAUUGUCUUCCAACAGAGCUGGCACCAAGGUUAUGCAGUUGCUACAGUGCAUUUGGGGACCAUGAUUUUUGAACCCUAAAUUGGGACCUCUGUUUGGAAAGAGGACAUUUCUUUUAAAAUGUCUUGUGAAAAGCAUACUUUCAUUUCUUGAAAUCAGGACAGUCCCAAGAAAUCUAGGAUGGUUAGAUGGUGUCCACAAAUAUGCCCUAUGUAGUCACAGUUGAAAGACGAGAGUACUAUGUUGGGUAAGAUUUUGGGUGGUCUCCAAGGAACAGAAGAAGCAACAGAUGUAACAGAAAGAGAAUCAAACAGGGUCAGGAGGCCUGGUUUUCCAGUCCCGACUGUGUGUGUGUGAUGGUGGGGGUGGGGGGAACUCAGGGCAAGUCCCCUCGCCUCUCUGGACUUCUGUUCCCUCCUGAAGGGAUUUGGACCAGCUGAUCUGCAAAUACCAAAGCACAGGAUGAUGGGAUUUAGAGCUGGGAGGCACCUUAGAAGUCCUACAAUCCAACCUGAGACUCAGAGGGGCAAACUGAUUUGCCCAAGACAGUGAAGUAAUAAGUAUCAGAAUCAGCAUUCAAACCCAUGUCCUUCUAACUCCAAAUUCAGUGUCCUUGCCACUAUAAAAAUCUGAAAUCUCUAAUGUUCCUUUCACCUCUAAUGUCCCAUGGCAACACAGUCAACUCUAUGGAAUUCAAGGAACAAGUCACAAGACAGCAAUACCUUUGGCAAAAGCUGAAUCUAAAGAGAAGAUAAUCAUCUUCAUUCUAAUGAGGCUGGAAAUACUUAUCACUACCAGUAGCUGCAAACAGUCACAACCCCUGGACACCCAAGUAGAGUAGUUGAGGGAAGAAAAAACAUCUUCACUCUAUCCUUAGGAUGCUUUUCACAACCAACUCACUUCUGUCUCGUGCCAAAAUUAGUUUGAUCUGGAUCAUGCCCCUGAGCUGACUUGGCACCAGCACUUGGCACAGUGCCUGGCACAUAGUAGGUGCUUAAUAAAAGUUUAUUGACUGACUGACUACAACAGCAAUGCCAACUCUAUUGCACCAGCAAGUCAGAUGAAAAGAUGGAACAAAGUUUUGUAUUUGUGAUACUAUACCGAAAAAAAAAAAAAGCAAAACUCCUGAUUCUAAUAUUCCAAGAACUCCACCUUCCCUACCUUGUUUCCCACAACUUCAGUUCAUGUGUUUCAUAUUCCAGACAAACGGGAUGGUCUCCCAUACCCCAUUCUUUUUCUAAUUUCUGGGUCUUAGUUCAUCAAAUCCCUCAUAUCUAGAAUGCACACACUUUUUCUUCCUUCCAAUUCUGCCUGUUGAAAUUCCCCUUCAGGGGCCAUCUCCUUUAUGAAGCCAUCCCUGAUCUCUCUGAUGGAAUUUAGUUCUCCCCCAUUUAAGUUUUUCUUAACUUUUAAAUUAGUCUUCUAUUGUACACUUAUCACAUCCUAAUUUAUAUCAUAUCUGUUUGAAAGCUUUAUAUUUCCCCUUUUAAAUAAGAUCCUUGAGAACUAAGAUUCUCAUUAAUUUCUCUAUUCUCAAUCUAAUAGUAUGCUAUGUACCUAGUAGGUGCUCAAUGUUUCUUGGAUUGAAUUAUUAGGUUAUUCCUCUGGGUUAAAGAAAGACCUUAAUGUGGAGACUAUUUCUUCUAUCCCCCCCCAGUAAUAUCACACAAAUUUGGAUCUAUAGAAUCAUAGCAUAGAAUAGAACUAUAGGGCUGGAAGGACCCACAGAAUUAGAUCCACAAAACAUCAGAGUUAGAAAGUACCUUGGAAUAGUAGCAUCAAAUUUAGAUAGAAGCAGGGACAACUAACCCAUAUGUAAAGAUCCUUGUAGUAGGCAUAUUGACUUAGAAAAUCACAUAUUAGCAUUACCUGUGUUUUACUGUAUUUUUAUU